CACUGCUGCUAGUCAAACAAGGCACCGGUUGGUCAUGCUCAUCACCUCAGACGGUCAGACCGCGGCACGCAUACAAAUGGAUCCCAGGUCCCAACAGACAGCGGCACAUGAUAGAACAAAGCAAACAUCUGCAAACUGUAAUGGCGGCUCCAGUAGGUGCCAAUGCCAUAGGAGCGGGCGACGAGCUGCUCCUGCUGGGCACAUGGUCGAGCCCAUGGGUGAUCCGAGCGAGGGUGGCGAUGGGGCUCAAGGGCCUGAGCUACGAGUACCUCGAGGAGGACCUCGGCAACAAGAGCGGCCUCCUGCUCCGGUCCAACCCGGUGCACAAGAAGGUGCCCGUCCUCAUCCACGGCGGCCGCCCAUUGUGCGAGUCGCUCGUGAUCCUGCAGUACCUCGACGAGGCAUGGCCGACGGCCGGUCCUCCGCUCCUCCCGGCCGACCCCUACGACCGCGCCACGGCACGGUUCUGGGCGGCCUACAUCAACGACACGUUUUUCCCGGCGUUCAGGGCGCUGUUCAGAUCGCUGACGGACGAGCAGAGAGCGGAGGCGCUGCGGAACGCCCUGCCUGCGGUGGAGACGUUGGAGCGAACGCUCGCGGAGUGCUCCGCGGGGAAGGCGUUCUUCGGCGGCGACGCCGUCGGGAUCGUGGACGUCGCGCUCGGGAGCCACCUGGUCUGGAUCCGAGUGGUGGAUGAGGUUGGAGGCACCAGCCUUCUGGACGCGGCCAAGGUCCCCGGCCUGGCGGCGUGGGCGGAGCGGUUCUUGGCCGUGGACGCCGUGAAGAAGGUGAUGCCGGACGCAACGAAGGUCCUGGAGCAGUACAAGGGGUUUCGGGCUAAAUGGAUUGCGGGCGCCGGUUGUACCUGAAACGUACGGUACCAAGCCUAUGAGCUGAUCCAUGCCAGAUAGGCCAUGCUUGGUGCCACUGGCGCUGUCAUCCUAGAGGCCUGCAACAAGUUCGGCGCUAACCGUGACCCUUAGGCUGUUUCGUUCAAGGUCGCGGCUUCCGUAUUCGAUGGCCCCAGCUUCGGUGCCCGGGCUCCGGUGCCCGUGAUGCUCCUAGGUCGAUUUGACGAGGUUCAUGGGUUAUACGCGCCUCACACAAGCAUGCGCUGAAUUUCUCGCUUUGGGUGUGUAUGGUUUUCCCAGGCUGAGCUAGAGAAGGUGGAUAAAACUAAUUUUUUUGGAAGAUACUUGAAUGAAUAAAUAAGGCGCCAGUUCAGAUUAAAAAUUCCCUGGUAUGUUCAACAUGAACUCUUUUUUGGAGGGCUUUUUUCUAUUUAUAUUAGAGAUCUUUGUCGAAACUGAUAUUGAAAGUUGCCAUUGCGAGCUCUUGGUCUCACAGAAUACAGAUACUAGGCUAGCCGGGCCAAAAGAUGCUCCUGAUCUUGCUAGACUCAUACAAGUAAUGUCUGCUUCUUGUUGCUAUUAUUCUAGGUUUUUUCACCAUUCCUCCUAUUCUUUAAAUUUAUAAAUUUAUAGUUUGUAAAAUGUGCAAAGGUCCUUUAAACUAUGUAAUUACAUCUUGUGAUGAGAUGGUGAAUCUGAAGCUAUGCCUUUAACCUUGAACGAAUGGGCGCACAAGAGGGUAAUCGUAUAUUGAGGUUUAAAUGCAAGUAUAUAAUAAUAAUGCAUUUCCCAAAUCAUUAAUUCUGCAAGUGAUGAGUUUUUUCUUUCUAUUCCCAAUUUUCUCUGUGAUGUGCAGUUUGGACAUUUGAAUGCACAUCAGUAACUGUGGUUGCAUUAAUGGUCCAAUGGAGAGCAAUGAUGUGAAUAACAAGCUGUCAUUUUUGCCCUCUUGUUCAAAGCUUGAAAUGGAAUUGUGCACUUAUUCGAGCAUUAAUCUUGUAAUACAGAAACUAUGCACUCAUUUGAGCAUUCUGGAUAUAACUUACUACAUGUCAAAACAUUGACGCCUAAGUUGGUUGCUGUAAGAACUAAGAAACGAAACAUUAGUUGAUGAACUAAAAGAAGCUUUAGCUGAUUGCGAACAGAAGCCAAAAAAUAUUCUUGGGGAGCAAGGUGUCAUAGAAGUAAGGUGAUUCUAUCCUAUGUCUGUGAAUAACUAAAGGUUUGCUCCGAAAAUUUCUCUGGUAUUCAACCCUUGAAUAAUAGGUCGCUCGACACCUGGAUGCAAUUACAGUUGUCACUGGGAUAGUAGGGUGUGCAGGGAUGAAGGUAACACCCCUUCUAUUUAUCACAUUUCUCUUCGUGCUUUUCUUAUGUUGGGUGUUCCGAGAACCUAAUGUUGAUAUUUAUAAAAUGUUUGUGUAUAAAUGAUAUUUAUGUGCUUGCAAUGGUGUGUCUGUCGGUUUGAGGCAUGGUUUGCUGCAGAUGCAGAUGAAAUAUCUCUGAAGAAUUGGGAUCACAUUCGUGCUAUGCACUGGUGCAAAGUGAAAGCCAUGAUCUAAAUAAUGCUGUAGAUAGAAUUAUUUUCAUGUUAUCAAGUAAUUAUAUGCACUGCCAGUAUGAAGUCUUGGUCCACUAUCUAUUUCCAUGUGGUCAAUAUUCACCAUAAUGCCAAAACAUCAGGAGGCAUUUCAUAUCCUUAGUUGAAACAAAAUUAUGCAGUUUAAUUCCUUCCUUCAUGAGCUAAUGCUCUUCACUCACUAGAAAUUAUCUAUAUGAACUUUACAUGCAGGGUGAUACAACAGUAACAGAGACCAAACUCGAACUCCAUAGCAGAGUAAAUGAUCUUGAUCUGCAGCUAAGGAGAAAGGGGAAUGCCAUAGGUACUUAUACAAUUGGGUCUGGAGGCUCGUCGGCAACCGGACAGGAAAACAGCAAGGCAGAAGGGCAUUGCUCGGUCGCUGGUCCGAUGAGUGGCACUGUCAGGGAGCGUGACAGGGGCGACAAAUCUAGACCUCCACUUGUUUGAAGCCCCUCUUGACGAAAAAGAAAUAUCGCUACGAUAUAGCUCUGCUCUUGGAUAAGGUGCUAUAAAUGUAUAGCUCUGCUCUUGUUCAAGGUGCACCAAAUCCACGUAUGCAUCAGAAAAUUGAACCAACUCGGAUGAACUUGAUCCCAUCAUCUACCUGAAUGUCGUUUGGGAUCAUGUGUGGCCUCCAGAUUAGGUGCGACCCGGCCAUUGGCUAAUAUGCGCUACCGUUCCGCGUCGGGACCUCUAUCACCCUCGAUGGAGAGCCCGCCCAACCAUGUCGUCCCUGACGACACAGCAAAUGCCACCGGUGUAGCCUCCCUCGUCGGGCGCCGCCACCUGAUUUGUUUCUUCCUCUAUCGUCGUGCCAUAUCCUCCGGUGGCGAUGAGCUACACUUGCUGCUUAUGAGGUGCCAGACCAGGUAGAGAGCUAGAGACGAUUGGGCACUUGGAUUGUUUUGGUUAACUGUUGCAGCGGUACAGAUCAAGAGUUGAUUCCAGUGUUCGGUGCGCUGGUGAUGCACCUCUGCACCGGCUUUGGCCCCGAGGCGCUACCGGUUGGGAUACGGUGGACCAUGGACGAGAGGGAUCCGGGGUGCUUGUAUGGAGAUCUGGCUGAACUGCCGUGCUGGGGAUUCUUCAGUCUCAUUGUACAUCCACUGCUAGGCGAGGCACGAUGUCGACGUGCUGGCGUGCUGCUACGGAAGGUGUUAGAUAUAUGCAACAAUCUGAUAUUCCAUACUACCUUAACCAUGUGGAGGUAAGGAUAGAUUUUCUAUAAGCAAUUGCUAGAAUGCCAUACAUCUACAAUUAUUGAGAAGAUGACCAUUUACAUUUACAAUAUAUACUUCUUUUAUGCAGCUUCUCGAAGCAUGUGAGUUUCUAUGUUUAUUGUUGAGCAUGAUCUCUUUGUUUUAUAUCAAUGCUAGGUUCCUGGUAACAAAUAGAUCUCUAAACUUCUUAUUUUUUUUACACAGAUUUUCUUAUUUUCUUCAUAUCUAACCGGGAGAGCUUGCUAUCCUGCACUUGAACUGCUUCUGCAUUUUUAUAAAAUUUAUUUUAGUGAUUCAUUGCAUCAAGAAAACUAUUACUUGUGGACAGCCUGGGGACAUAUGAGUCCUUUUAAGUAGAUGUUGUUAUCUGCUCAUACCAUGCAAUACUUUUCCUCAACAAGUGGUGUUGUUUUAAAUACUAGAGUAGAACUACAUCCAUGAAAACUAUCACUGCUCAUAUCCACGACAAAGCACCAGUGAACGUGUGUGCGACAAGGAGGGACCGCCUGCUGUUCUGAGUCCAACCAACUAGACCUACAACUGAAAGGUAUGCUAUAUAUAUAAUAUGGUGCUAUUUUGACGUGAUCCAGAUUGUUAUUGUAGGCCACACACAAAACAGGGACCGAUAAAAUAAAACCAUAAUUACUUCUGAUUCUGAAUUGAAAGCAUUACAUAGCUUCGAAGGUAUAUACUUCCCUUUCGAUUCUUUGGGCAGUUCAACCACAUUAGCUACUCCAUCCUUAGAUUCUAGAACUGCUCAUCAUUCUCUUCAUCCAGGUCAACACCUUUAUCAUCUCUAAUUGUUUUAGCGUCUUGAUGUCAUUGUACUUGUGGACAGGGGCUAGCUUUCUUUGUGUCAUUGUACUUGUGUACAGGGGCUAACUCAUGUAAUUUCAGACUCUCUGGUAUUCUCUAUUACAACAUUCUCAGGCUAGAGCACGGUGUUGUUACCUAAUCCUUUGUUUUAUUUUUUUUACCUUCAAGCUCUGGAAUUACAUUCUCCUUAAGCAAAAAAGGAAUGCCACUGUAAUUCUAGAAACAUUAGCACAUAAUCCUAUCUUUUAAAGGGUUAUACCUGGUUCUUCGUGUGCAAUCUUACCAAUUUUUGCAUGCAAUUGAUCAUUUGUUUCUUAUGCGGUUAUAUCCUCUUUUUCUUCAAAUAGCCUGUACGUUUGCUGCCAACUUAGUCUCUUUGUCUCCAUUGUAGAUCAUGGCCAAGGUAGCCACAUUUGGAUUUGGAGGACCAACUAAGGUACUCCUGGUGGCAAUGCCUUGAAGUUUUAUGCUUCUGCUCGCUUGAACAUCAAGCGUAUUGGUCUGGUAAAGAAAGGCGUGCAUGUAAUUAACUAAAUCAUAUGUUUGGCAUUUAUCUGAUUAGUUUAGUCUUGUACUUUAAUGUGUGACAUUCAGUACAUUCAUAACGUAACUUUGAUUUAACAGAGAUAUACAUGUCUACAUGAGACCUAUUUAACGGAGCCAGUACUAGACACAUGUAAUAGGCAUCUACAUGUGUUGUCACUCGACAAUUGUAAAUGAUUAGUGAAUUUAAAAUAACUGACUCUACAUAUGCCAUAUUGGUGGGGUGAGCGCUUGUGCAGACCAAAUGAUCACUUUUCAAAGGUAGCAGCGGCAGCAUGCGUAUGCCAUCUGCAUGAAAACUCUUAUUGAGUUGUUCGACAGUAUGCCGCACCGGAAUGUCUUGUCGUGGACGAUGGUGUUCGUGGGAUACACACAAGUAUAAUUAUAAUUAAGGUCUUGUUUGGGAGCAAGAGUAUUGGAGGGGCUUGAGAGGACUGCAAUCCCUUACUUCCUCUUCAUAGUUAUUUUUAUGAAACACCUUAGGUUUUGACCAGACGACAAUGAAGAUAACAUAUCUUGAUCCAAAUGCACUGAUGAAAGCAAUAAACACGCGACUCUACUCUAAAAUGACA